rnacentral:rRNA from 1 species
AUGAUUCAUUCAAAGGAGUCUGUAACAAUGCUAUAUGAUUGUUAUUAUUUUCACUUGAAUAUCCCGACUCUGAAAUUAAUAUUAAUUAAUAAAUGUAACAAGUGUGCCAGCAGUUUACGUUUAUUAAAGUUUAACCUUUUCCACCUGAAAAUUUGUAAUGAUUCAUUUCAAAGGAGUCUGCUGCAAUGGUAUACGAUUAUUAUUUAUUCACUUGAAUAUCCUGAUUCUGAAUUUUUAUAUUUAUUUAGUAAAUGUAACCACAGAGUAGUGCCUACUGACUACUAUAACCCUUUUCCAAUACUUUCCAAUGUUUGUUAA